rnacentral:rRNA from 1 species
GACGAACGCUGGCGGCGUGCUUAACACAUGCAAGUCGAGCGGUAAGGCCCUUUUGGGGGUACACGAGCGGCGAACGGGUGAGUAACACGUGGGUGACCUGCCCUCAGCUCUGGGAUAAGCCUGGGAAACUGGGUCUAAUACUGGAUAUGACCUUUCCUCGCAUGGGGGUUGGGUGGAAAGUUUUUUCGGCUGGGGAUGGGCCCGCGGCCUAUCAGCUUGUUGGUGGGGUGAUGGCCUACCAAGGCGACGACGGGUAGCCGGCCUGAGAGGGCGACCGGCCACACUGGGACUGAGACACGGCCCAGACUCCUACGGGAGGCAGCAGUGGGGAAUAUUGCGCAAUGGGCGGAAGCCUGACGCAGCGACGCCGCGUGGGGAUGAC